rnacentral:lncRNA from 1 species
GUUGGUACUCGGCUUAAAAGUAUGGGUUUGAUUGACUUUGCUUAAUUAGUUGCCCUUUACCUUUCUGCAUUCCUUUCCCUUGUUUGCUCUGUUUUCUUUUUCUUUUAGUUAUAGCUUUAUCUCCCCUCAUUUUCGCAACAGAACACAACUUGGUAGUAGCCUAAUCUUUUAUAGAAAUGUCGUGCAAUGAUUUUAAAGAGCACUUGUUGUCCAUCAUAGAGUUCACUUUUCAAGAAAGAGAGAAGCUUCAGGUAAAAAGGUUUGGUUCCGACUCCUCGACCAGAUUUGUCUCUCUCCUCUCCGAAAAUUUGUGCAGCUUUCGUAAAAGGUUUUAUAUCUACAAGCUUUGUAAGCCUCGUGGGGUGUUUGUACAAGAAAUUACAUCCAACAUCUACAUGCAUCUUAAUUCGAAACAAAUGCAUGAUGAAUGAGACUCAUAAGAACAAGAUGAGAUGAUUGAUAUGGUACACUGCGACAUAAUGUAUAUGAUAUAGUGUAUAAUUUUUCUAUUUUAGCCAACUAUCAAAAGAGAUUAUUAUUCAGCAAUUUCCCUGGUCUAUUCAUGGAUCGCCACUCUGCUUCAACCUGCCCGAAGCUUUGCUUGCAAUGGAUGAAGUAGAUCAUCUUAUCCGCAUAAUGAGCAACCGGUUUCAUCCCCACGAUCACAGAAGGAAGAAAACCGGAAGUUGAUUGCCGGUCCAUUUUGUGGACGGGACUAUGACCAAGUACAAUUGCUUACAUAUAACCACACUCUCUUUGUUUUUUGGUAAAACCACACUCUCUUUUGACCUGAAGACUUGGCCCUAGUUCUGUGGGACCAGCAUGUCAUUGCUUCAGCCAC